GGCGAGAUGGCCGAGCGGUCUAAGGCGCUUGUUUUAGGCACCAGUUCCUUCGGGGGCGUGGGUUCGAAUCCCACUCUCGUCA
rfam:Necator americanus N_americanus-1.0_Cont140511.1, whole genome shotgun sequence.